rnacentral:rRNA from 1 species
AGAGUUUGAUCAUGGCUCAGGAUGAACGCUAGCGGCAGGCCUAAUACAUGCAAGCCGAACGGCAAGAUUUUCAGCAAUGAGAAUCCUAGAGUGGCGUAAGGGUGCGUAACACGUAUGCAAUCUACCCUCAACAGGAGGAUAGCUCCCCGAAAGGGGAAUUAAGACUCCAUAAGAUCACACGAAGGCAUCUGAGAGUGAUUAAAGUACAAGCGGUUGAGGAUGAGCAUGCGUCUGAUUAGUUAGUUGGCGGGGUAACGGCCCACCAAGACGAUGAUCAGUAGGGGAACUGAGAGGUUGAUCCCCCACACUGGCACUGAGAUACGGGCCAGACUCCUACGGGAGGCAGCAGUAGGGAAUAUUGGACAAUGGGUGCAAGCCUGAUCCAGCCAUGCCGCGUGCAGGAAGAAGGCCUUCUGGGUUGUAAACUGCUUUUGCCGGGGGAUAAAAUAGUCUUGCGAGACGAAUUGAAGGUACCCGGUGAAUAAGCCACGGCUAACUACGUGCCAGCAGCCGCGGUAAUACGUAGGUGGCAAGCGUUGUCCGGAUUUAUUGGGUUUAAAGGGUGCGUAGGCGGUCAAAUAAGUCAGUUGUGAAAUACGGCAGCUCAACUGUCGAGGUGCAAUUGAUACUGUUUGACUUGAGUAUUGUUGAGGUAGGCGGAAUGGACGGUGUAGCGGUGAAAUGCUUAGAGAUCGUCCAGAACACCGAUAGCGAAGGCAGCUUACUAAAGAAUAACUGACGCUGAGGCACGAAAGUGUGGGGAUCAAACAGGAUUAGAUACCCUAGUAGUCC